CCCUCCGCGUGCCGCUGGUUUAUCUGUGCAGAGAGGGACACCCAAAGGGGGACAGUGAGCCCACUGUGUCUUUUAGAACCCAAAGCGAGUUACUGCAAACCUCAGGCAAUUGAAGUGAAUAUUGGCUAGCUCAAAAGGCUGUGAAGAUGACCACCGUAUCUAUCUGAGUAAUUUUUUUCUUCUGUCUCAGUCUUGAAAUCAGGCAUGGUUAUUUUUAUUUUCGGUGUAUGCAGGCUUAACCUAUGUGCUUAUAUUCACAAUGAACUCUUGAAUCGGAUCCUCUGUGUUUUGCUGGGGAGUAUUCAUUCCCCACUUGACCUGCUUUGUUGCUCAAAACUUUGUAGCUCAUCUUUGCCUUCCCGUCUGUUUAUUCUUGGUGUGGGGUUGUCAAGGAGAAAUGUUGGAAGGGAGAGAAGGGAGCAGGCAUCAUAGAUGGUAUUACAGGCGGCUGGUCUCUCCUCUCUCAGCCAACUAUGAGAACUAUUUGGGAUUGAAGGAGAUAAGCUACAGCAAGUCGUUACUUGUCCUGAAUGCACGACCUUCUUUCUUUGAGCAAGAGGACAAACCUGGGUAGGGAUCUCUAUGAUGUUUUCUGCGUUGCCCGUGGACGUUCAUCUUUCUGAUUUGUUAGCUGAAGAUGAGGAUCUGGAGCAGGAGCUCGGAGUGCCAUUGUUCCAUGGGCAGAUGUGCAGCAGAGAUUGGUCUUGCUCUGUCAUCCAGGCUGGCGCGAUCUCGGCUCACUUUGACCUCUGCCUCCUGGGUUCAAGCGAUUCUCCUGUCACAGCCUCCUGAGCAGCUGGGAUUACAGGCAGGCACCACCAUGCUGAGCUAAUUUUUGUAUUUUUAGUAGAGACCAGGUUUCGCCAUGUUGCCCAGGCUACUCUCGAACUCCUGGCCUCAUGUGAUCCGCCCACCUCAGCCUCCCAAAGUGCUGGGAUUACAGGCGUGAGCCACUGCAACCAGCUGGAACAAUCUUGAUAUUAGGGUGAACAAGUGAUUUCAUAGCUUUCUCUGAAGGAGGAAACACUGGGAGCAUCCACCCGAGAAUCAACACUGUGGAUCAUUCUGGGGAGUUAAUAGUUUUGAGAUGUGUCCCAAGAUAAUUGUUAGCUUGAAUUACCACGUGGAUGGAACCAUGCUGAUCCUAAGAGCCAGGUAAUGGCCAAAGGUGCCAUUCAGGUGAAAUCCCCAGGUGGAAAAUUCUUCCACUUCCAAUGAUAGAAUUCUAUUACUCUGCCUAUAGUUUGGUGAAACAAGACUUUACAAAUAGAGGACAAGAUCCAUUUUGCCAAGAACAACCAUAUGGAUUUAACUGCUGCUAACAACCGUUAGGAAGGAACAUCAAUAAAAAGCAAGCCUGUGAGACAACUCCUUCCCCAAGGGGCGCUUGUUACAGAGCGCGGGCCCCAGCAGGCCUGGUCCAUCCUCCACAUUCUUUCCUCUCUGACUUAUUUUUACUUUCUGUUUGAAUUGGCUUGGUUUUAUUUUGCCCUAAACUGUGUCUGUAGUCAUCCCCCGACAGAGUUUUGAGAGUGAAAGUCCGAUCUGCCCACGCUUCACAGAACUCAAUGCGGAGCCUUCUCAGGAGUCACUUGACGUCAAGGCUGACUUUUAAAUUUGCCAAAAAGGCAUUCUUUGGGGAGCGGUCGGCACCAUCACUUUCCCUCUUUAGAGAGCUGCUACUGGCUGCUGGAAUUCAAAACCCACAAAUUGCAUUUCUAAACUUAAUUCGAUACAUAGAUGAGCGGAAAGAUCAGACAUUGAUGCUAUUGUUUUCAACCAAGAUGUUUUACUAUAUCAUUUAUAUUUUGUUUUUUUCUUCCCCCAGUUUUUAAACUUUUUGUUUGUUUGUUUUACAGGCCAAGCCUACUGCUGUUAGAAAACAUAUUUAGAAAUCACUUGGUUCUUCCUUGCCUGAACAUCAUCUAUUUAGUUAGCUUGUGUUGUUUAGAUGUGCUUCAGAUCUCAAAAAAAUAAAUUAUGUUAUUUGAAAGCUUGCUCUCUGCUUGUUUACACUAUUAAUUUAGAGUCCAGAGGAAUCUCUAAAUUUGCCUCUAGAAACCACAUAAUCACCUAAUAAUACCUUUCCUGACUCCACUUUCUGACACAAAGUGACUUUUGAAACGCUUCCAUCUUCCCUUUCUAUUUAAUGUACUGCACUCCACUCUUUUUUCCUUUCGUUUUUUCUACAGUCCGUCAUGGAGUAUUUGUUUACCAAAUGUUACUUUUCUUGGAUCCAAUCUAUUUUUGAAGAGCGCAAAAGCAAACAACUGUUUGAAGCUGUCAAGCUUCAUUUUAUUUAUGCAUGAAUAACACAAAUAACUUGAAAAUGACCUAGUCUGUUUUUCUCAGAUUUAGAUAGAAAAACUGCUUCCGGCCAAUGUUUAUGCCAAUUUGUUCAUGCCAAGUUUCCAGUUUCGGUGCCAACCGGUUUUUACAGCCAAGUUGUAAACCUUCGGUAAACAUGGCUUAUAAUGAAAAGUGCAACACAGCCUGAACCCUGGCACCAGGGGACGGAUGUAAAUUUAUUCUAAGAACAAAAUUCUAACAGGAACAGGAGGGGAGCUAGGCUGGCUACAAAGUGUUCCCACCGUAAUAUGGAAAAUGUACAGAUGAUGAUAUAUUUGAUUACUAAGAUCCCAUUAGGCCAAUUUAGGCACUUUAUGUAUUUCCUUUGCUCUGGACGCUGAGUGGUUUCAUGCUCAAUUUGAAGCAACUGGCUCAUUGUCUCAGGGUGGUUCUAGAACUUUGCCUUCAGGUGGGGCUGGGGAGGGAGCC
rnacentral:lncRNA from 10 species